ACCUUGUCUGAAUAUGGGGGGACCAUCCUCCAAGGCUAAAUACUCCUGACUGACCGAUAGUGAACCAGUACCGUGAGGGAAAGGCGAAAAGAACCCCUGUGAGGGGAGUGAAAUAGAUCCUGAAACCGCAUGCAUACAAGCAGUGGGAGCACCUUCGUGGUGUGACUGCGUACCUUUUGUAUAAUGGGUCAGCGACUUAUAUUCAGUAGCGAGGUUAACCGUAUAGGGGAGCCGUAGAGAAAUCGAGUCUUAAUAGGGCGUUUAGUUGCUGGGUAUAGACCCGAAACCAGGCGAUCUAUCCAUGAGCAGGUUGAAGGUUGGGUAACACUAACUGGAGGACCGAACCCACUGUCGUUGAAAAGCCAGGGGAUGACUUGUGGAUAGGGGUGAAAGGCUAAUCAAGCCUGGUGAUAGCUGGUUCUCCCCGAAAGCUAUUUAGGUAGCGCCUCGGACGAAUACCAUAGGGGGUAGAGCACUGUUUCGGCUAGGGGGUCAUCCCGACUUACCAAACCGAUGCAAACUCCGAAUACCUAUGAGUACUAUCCGGGAGACAGACUGCGGGUGCUAACGUCCGUAGUCAAGAGGAAAACAAUCCAGACCGCCAGCUAAGGCCCCAAAAUCAUAGUUAAGUGGGAAACGAUGUGGGAAGGCAUAGACAGCUAGGAGGUUGGCUUAGAAGCAGCCACCCUUUAAAGAAAGCGUAAUAGCUCACUAGUCGAGUCGGCCUGCGCGGAAGAUGUAACGGGGCUAAAACUAUGUGCCGAAGCUGCGGAUGUAUACUUUGUAUACGUGGUAGGGGAGCGUUCUGUAAGCCGAUGAAGGUGUGUUGAGAAGCAUGCUGGAGGUAUCAGAAGUGCGAAUGCUGACGUGAGUAACGACAAAACGGGUGAAAAACCCGUUCGCCGAAAGACCAAGGGUUCCAGUCCAACGUUAAUCGGGGCUGGGUGAGUCGACCCCUAAGGCGAGGCCGAAAGGCGUAGUCGAUGGGAAAAUGGUUAAUAUUCCAUUACUUCUGUGUAAUGCGAUGAGAGGACGGAGAAGGCUAAAUCAGCCUGGCGUUGGUUGUCCAGGUGAAAGGAUGUAGGCAUGUAUCUUAGGCAAAUCCGGGGUACUCUAUGCUGAGAUCUGAUAGCAAGCUGUACUUGUACAGCGAAGUGGUUGAUGCCAUGCUUCCAGGAAAAGUCUCUAAGCUUCAGUUACACAGGAAUCGUACCCGAAACCGACACAGGUGGUCAGGUCGAGUAGACCAAGGCGCUUGAGAGAACUCUGCUGAAGGAACUAGGCAAAAUGGUACCGUAACUUCGGGAGAAGGUACGCUGUUGUUGGUGAUGGAACUCGCUUCCUGAGCUGACGACAGCCGCAGAAACCAGGCCGCUGCAACUGUUUAUUAAAAACAUAGCACUCUGCAAACACGAAAGUGGACGUAUAGGGUGUGAUGCCUGCCCGGUGCUGGAAGGUUAAUUGAUGGGGUUAGCGUAAGCGAAGCUCUUGAUCGAAGCCCCAGUAAACGGCGGCCGUAACUAUAACGGUCCUAAGGUAGCGAAAUUCCUUGUCGGGUAAGUUCCGACCUGCACGAAUGGCAUAAUGAUGGCGGCGCUGUCUCCAGCAGAGGCUCAGUGAAAUCGAAAUCGCUGUGAAGAUGCAGUGUACCCGCGGCUAGACGGAAAGACCCCGUGAACCUUUACUGCAGCUUGACACUGAACUUUGACCUUACUUGUGUAGGAUAGGUGGGAGGCUUUGAAGCUGGAACGCUAGUUCCAGUGGAGCCGUCCUUGAAAUACCACCCUGGUAAUGUUGAGGUUCUAACUCUGUCCCGUGAUCCGGGACGAGGACCGUGUCUGGUGGGUAGUUUGACUGGGGCGGUCUCCUCCUAAAGAGUAACGGAGGAGUACGAAGGUGCGCUCAGCGUGGUCGGAAAUCACGCGUAGAGUAUAAAGGCAAAAGCGCGCUUAACUGCGAGACCCACAAGUCGAGCAGGUACGAAAGUAGGUCUUAGUGAUCCGGUGGUUCUGUAUGGAAGGGCCAUCGCUCAACGGAUAAAAGGUACUCUGGGGAUAACAGGCUGAUACCGCCCAAGAGUUCAUAUCGACGGCGGUGUUUGGCACCUCGAUGUCGGCUCAUCUCAUCCUGGGGCUGAAGCAGGUCCCAAGGGUAUGGCUGUUCGCCAUUUAAAGAGGUACGCGAGCUGGGUUUAGAACGUCGUGAGACAGUUCGGUCCCUAUCUACCGUGGGCGCUGGAAAUUUGAGAGGAUCUGCUCCUAGUACGAGAGGACCAGAGUGGACGAACCUCUGGUGUACCGGUUGUGACGCCAGUCGCAUCGCCGGGUAGCUAUGUUCGGAAGGGAUAACCGCUGAAAGCAUCUAAGCGGGAAGCCUACCUCAAGAUAAGAUUUCCCUAGGACUUUAUGUCCUCUAAAGAGCCGUUCGAGACUAGGACGUUGAUAGGUUGGAUGUGGAAGCAUAGUGAUAUGUGAAGCUGACCAAUACUAAUUGCUCGUGAGGCUUGACUAU
rnacentral:rRNA from 1 species